rnacentral:lncRNA from 1 species
UCUGGGUGUAUCCCUUGACGAGUGCCUUGCUUUAUAUAUUUCAAUUGAUCCAUCUAUCUUGUGUUUGAUAAAGAACACUCAUCUACAUCCCGCAAUCUUCUUUCCGUCGGAUGGUAGCAUAAGUGCCCGAGUAUCAUUCUUCUGCAACGCUUUCAUCUCUGUCUGUUGCUUGGAUCCACUUGGGAUUAUUCAUGGCUUCACUUAUUGUAUGAGGAACAUCAUCUGCAGAUAAGUUAUAAACUAAUAUCUUGAGAGGUUCGGACCAUGGUUGAGCUAAGAUGUGGUUGGCAAUUGGGUACUUUGACUAGCUAGUUCUAU